GGGAGGGUGAGUCGCGGACAGGACGCAGAGAGGCGCCGGGUCAACGCGCCAGGUAGCAACGCCUCAGGACACCCGUCGACGUCGUCCUUGCCGUCGUCCUUGCCGUCGUCCCUGCCGUUGUCCUUGUCGCAGCCUUCGAGGCCGACUUGGCCGUCGUCAUCGUUCGCGGCCAGGACGCGUACGAUUUCACACAAACACGCAUACACACGUUCGCUCGCUCACUCACUCACUCACUCACUCAUACUCACAUUUACACUUAUAUACGCUGACAAAAAAAACAUACAACACGCGUUACACUAAUAUACAUACAUACAUACAUAUACAUACACGCACACGCUUACAUACAUAUACAUAUACAUAUACAUGUACACGCGCGUGAUACAUCGUACUUAGUAGAAACUUACACAACACGUACGCGACAAUCGGCAAAAAUUAUUUAACUUAAAACACUUAUACAUACUAACAUCACACUCGCGCGCAACAUACAAAAGAAAAAGCCUCGCACGCGUUAACGUAGGGAAUCGACGGCGAACAUGAGGUCCUUGCACGCAGCCUCCUGGAGCUUCGCCCUUCUCGCGGCCACGGUGGCACUGCUGCCUGCCACGCAUUGGGCACCCUUCGCCCACGCUGCAACCGGCGGCGGUAGUAUGCUGGGAGAUGUCAACAUCUCAGCAAUACUGGACUCCUUUUCUGUUCGUUACGAUAAAAGAGUAAGGCCGAACUACGGAGGUGAGUAAGGACGAUCGAUUGCCUCUCCUGCUUUAAUUAAAAAAAAAAAAAAAAAAAAUAAAAAAA
rnacentral:lncRNA from 1 species